rnacentral:lncRNA from 1 species
CAUCUGUAAAAUGAGGGCAGAAACAGCUCCGGCCUCCUGGUAUUGUCCAGAGGAUUAACAGAGAAAACGCAGGUGUAGGCUUUAACUCAAAGCCUAGCACUUCACAGGCUUUCAAUAAAUGAUUGAUGACAACAGCAAGCGACACAGGGCUCUGAGCACCAGCACACUGGCCUUCCCCGGGGGUCGCUGGGUGGAUAAGCCGGGUAGCUGCCCCAGAGCAGAGUGCCCACGCCCCCUCCCACUGACCUGGAGGCCCAUCCCCAGUCCCUUGGGUGGUGAGAGGAGAGAGGCCUCUCACGGGAUGUGCAGAGGUGGAGUUGAUCUCUAGGCAUGGAAGGAAACAAAACUUUGGCUUCCUGGGGAUUUCUGACCUGCCCAUCAGGAUGCUGCUUGAGAAAGCUGUAAGAUGCUUCCUGUUGGAGGGGUCAGGGAGGGGCCCCAGUGAGAGACUAGACACUCCCAGAUGGUCAGUUCCUUGGGUUACAGGGAAAGCCAUAGAAUGCCGGGGUGGGGGGCAGUAAGGCAGAGGAAAGCUCGCUGCUUCCUUCUGGUGGGGGCCAUUGAUCAAUUCUAGAACCAAAGCCCUUGCUCUUUUUCAGAGGGGCCCGAGGUGCCCACUACUCACCUGCCGCUACCUCGAGAGACACAGGGCAUAAUAGUUACAGUUUACACCUUUUUAUUGCUGAGUGGGAUCCCAUUGUAUGAAAUAGGACAAUUUGGCCACGUGUUGAUGGACAUUUUGCUGUUUCCGGGAUUGGACUGCUGCUGUUUUCUGAAGUAGCUGUAUCAUCGUGCAUUUCUACGCUCAGUGACAAGAGUUCCAGUUGCUCCACAACUUGACCAACACUCAGCUUGUCAGACUUCUGAUGGGUGUGUAGCGAGAAGCAGCGGUGCAAUGUCUCCAGGACCCAGGGAGCUGAGCAGGAGAGGGUGCUACCGCCCAAGGGGAAAGGGAUGGAAAGCAAGAGAGCUUCCUGGCAGAGGAGACCUUUGAGCUAUGAUUGGAUUCAAGAUGUCUCUUGGGGACUGCAGGGCUCCCAGGCCACAGGAGGACAACAAGUCCAGAGCCCAUGUCAUCAGACUUUCUCAAGUCACAGGCCAAAUUGGAGAGGCCACAUGCCCGAAGCCACCCAGAGGGGUCAAGCAAAGCCAGGACUCCAGGCAGCAAAUCUUCCUUAUGUCCUUCCUGCAUGUGAGGCCCUGAGCAGAGUGCCAGGGAUGAGGAGGAACAGACAGAGCAGCAGCUGCCCUCACCGCCCAGUGGCAGAUGUGAGCAAGUUAUCAACUCUAGCACAACAGGAGAGCCCUUACCUGCAGCUGGGGAGACCGGGGACCUCCUGGCUGAAGUGACCUUUAAGCCAAGGCCUCAAAGCUGAAGAGGAAUGUGUUUUCCCAAGAUAAAUGCAAAGGCUGAGGAUCAAGAAAAAAACAGCACAUCUUGACAAGCGGUGCGUAGGUCCACACCUGGGAUCUG